AUUGAACGCUGGCGGCAUGCUUUACACAUGCAAGUCGAACGGUAACAGGCCGCAAGGUGCUGACGAGUGGCGAACGGGUGAGUAAUGCAUCGGAACGUGCCCAGUCGUGGGGGAUAACGCAGCGAAAGCUGCGCUAAUACCGCAUACGAUCUCUGGAUGAAAGCGGGGGACCGAAAGGCCUCGCGCGAUUGGAGCGGCCGAUGUCAGAUUAGGUAGUUGGUGGGGUAACGGCCCACCAAGCCAACGAUCUGUAGCUGGUCUGAGAGGACGACCAGCCACACUGGGACGGAGACACGGCCGAGACUCCGACGGGAGGCAGCAGUGGAGAAUUUUGGACAAUGGGCGCAAGCCUGAUCCAGCAAUGCCGCGUGCAGUAAGAAGGCCUUCGGGUUGUAAACUGCUUUUGUACGGAACGAAACGGCUCUGGUUAAUACCUGGGGCUAAUGACGGUACCGUAAGAAUAAGCACCGGCUAACUACGUGCCAGCCGCCGCAGUAAGAC
rnacentral:rRNA from 1 species